rnacentral:rRNA from 1 species
UACGGAAGGCAGCAGUGGGGAAUAUUGCACAAUGGGCGCAAGCCUGAUCCAGCCAUGCCGCAUGAGUGAAGAAGGCCUUCGGGUUGUAAAGCUCUUUUAGUGAGAAAGAUAAUGACGGUACUCACAGAAGAAGUCCUGGCUAACUCCGUGCCAGCAGCCGCGGUAAUACGGGAGAGGGCUAGCGUUAUUCGGAAUUAUUGGGCGUAAAGAGCGCGUAGGCUUGAUUAGUAAGUUAAAGUGAAAUCCCAAAGCUUAACUUUGGAAUUGCUUUUAAAACUGCUAGUCUAGAGAUUGAAAGAGGAUAGAGGAAUUCCUAGUGUAGAGGUGAAAUUCGUAAAUAUUAGGAGGAACACCAGUGGCGAAGGCGUCUAUCUGGGUUCAAAUCUGACGCUGAGGGCGCGAAGGGCGUGGGGAGCAAACAGGGAUUAGAUACC